rnacentral:lncRNA from 1 species
CCCGCUCUUCACUCAGUGACGAACUUCCCUGAACAUCCGCUUGCUGUCAAUCCACAGAAUGCACUACAUGGUCAACGUUCACAGAUUGAACAAGCAUGGCCUUCCUUGAAUGUUCCACCUCCCGCUCUUCACUCAGUGACGAACUUCCCUAGACAUCCACUUGCCGGCAAUCCACAUAAUGCACUACAUGGUCAACAUCCGCAGAUUGAACAAGCAGGGCCUUCCUUGAAUGUUCCACCUCCCGCUCUUCACUCAGUGACGAACUUCCCUAGACAUCCGCUUGCUGGCAAUCUACAGAAUGCACCACAUGGUCAACAUCCGCAGAUUGAACAAGCAGGGCCUUCCUUGAAUGUUCC